AUUGAACGCUGGCGGCAUGCCUUACACAUGCAAGUCGAACGGUAACAGGUUAAGCUGACGAGUGGCGAACGGGUGAGUAAUGUAUCGGAACGUGCCCAGUCGUGGGGGAUAACUGCUCGAAAGAGCAGCUAAUACCGCAUACGACCUGAGGGUGAAAGCGGGGGAUCGCAAGACCUCGCGCGAUUGGAGCGGCCGAUAUCAGAUUAGGUAGUUGGUGGGGUAAAAGCCCACCAAGCCAACGAUCUGUAGCUGGUCUGAGAGGACGACCAGCCACACUGGGACUGAGACACGGCCCAGACUCCUACGGGAGGCAGCAGUGGGGAAUUUUGGACAAUGGACGCAAGUCUGAUCCAGCCAUGCCGCGUGCGGGAAGAAGGCCUUCGGGUUGUAAACCGCUUUUGUCAGGGAAGAAAAGGUUCUGGUUAAUACCUGGGACUCAUGACGGUACCUGAAGAAUAAGCACCGGCUAACUACGUGCCAGCCGCCGCCGUAAUAC
rnacentral:rRNA from 1 species